UCUCUCCCACAAGCACUUGUUACAUCACUCUGAAAGGAAUCUACUAGCCAAAGGAAUAAAAAAGGAGGUGGUGAUGGGUUCCCCCAUCCAAGAUGCCACCUGAUGUGUGGGGUCUCACUGAGCCCACCCAAUCCACCAGCCUGAACUUCCUCACCCUGUUGAUGCUGUGCCAGGCCCUGAAGCCUUCACUCACACACACAGAGGCUGAGAAUGCUGUGAAUACAGAAAUAAGCAUGUAAAUGAAAUAGUAGGUGACAUGACGAGAAGAACAACACAUGCUGCAAUGGCAGUUUGUAGAGAAUGAUAACGAAGUAAAGAAGUUGUAUGGGAAAGAUAAGAGAGAAUGGCUUGACAAAAAAAAAUGCAAGAGAAGCCAAAGAAACAUCAGUGAGAAGUGACUCAAAGAAAUUAUUCCAGGUGUGUAAGCAAUUAUCACAAUUUCAGAGUCACAGUGGUAUCAUAAAAGCGGAAGAUGGAAGAUUCUUAACAACGGAAGCAGAACAAAAGGAAUUAUGGUGAGACUGUUUUAAUGAAGUGCUCAGUCAACCUGAGCCAACAAUCGCAAUCAAUGGAUGUGAAGAAGGUGAUAAAGAAAGCAGAAAUAGAGGAAGUCAUUAAGCUGCUAAAAUAGCAAAGCACGUGGUCAAGAUAAGAUCACUGCUAAAACGCUUGAAG